AGCGGUUCUUGCCCUUGAGAGAGAUCGCAUAGACGUAGCUUGUGAUGAUCGAGUCUUGGAGAUCUCUGGCCUCGGUGAUGGCUUUCCAGAUCAUGGCGCUCGUUGCCUCGAACGAGGUUGGAGGGCGGCCAUAGCUGUACGGACCACUGUGAACGUCUCGGAUAAGAUCGUCGACUUGGUCAGGAUCCAUCUCAAACAUCUUCACGACGUACUCGCACGUUACGUCGGUUGCUUUGUCCGAGUGAGUGUUAUAGAUCGGAGAGGAGUAGUAGUCGCGGACUGGCAGAAUGAUCGCUGGGGGCUGCCUGGCCUGGAAAAUGUUAGAGGCAAAAACCGGAGGGCUCAAAAGCGGCAGGCCUCGGUGGAUUUCGGACCAAGCAUUCACAAACGCAAAGUUUGAGGAUCCAUCUAGCACCACUUCGGCCACUAAGAUCCCCAAUGCAAUCCCACCACACUUGAACUUCGUCACCUAGAUUCAGGAAUUCCAUGAAUAUUUAGGAAUUAACUGCGAUAUCAAGAAACCUGCCUGAACUUUGAAGAUCGGAGCAGUGUCUGGAUCCGUGAUGGCCACUUCCGAAGGAUUGAGAUGCUGCUCGAUGGAGCAAAACGCCAUAUUUUUCCAAUCGCUGAAGCUGGCGUCGGGGGCACUCGCCUCCACAAACGAGACACCAGCGUCGUUGCAAUCCACCUCCAGCUUGUGACCAUCUUCCGCCCUGCGCACCCGCCCUGCCAAGACAUAAAACGGGACAAGCACUCUGGACAGCGAAGCUCUCAAGCUCUCGACAAGAUCAUCCCUGCUAGAUGGUGGGAAAUAGUAGACUUGCUUGGUAUAAUUCUCAAAGGAGAUGUGGAAGUCGAGAUUGGAGAGCUUGUGAAUCCGGGGCUGUGGAGUUGGAGUUUCGGGCUUGACAGUCCAAGACCCCAACACCGUCACAACACUAGCCAUGGUUGAUCAUAGGAACACACACAAACGUAAUAUAUAUAUAUAUAUAGCAAAGUUUGUACAGUUAUAAAAUCUUAAAGGUAAGGGUAUUUAUAUUUAUUGUUUUAUCUUGAAUUUAGUUUUACAUUUUUAUUAGUUAUAACAAUCAUUUAAAUAAUGGGUUUAAAGUAAAAAAUGAUACGGGAUAGAGCUAAAGAGCCAAUCCAGCUUUUCCUACAUGCAUUCUUCCAGAACAAAGAAGAGCAUUCCCUUUCGUAGUCCAAGGCCCACGCGAAAGAAACCAAUGGCCUAAUGAAGAGGUUAAGGGCAAGCCCGUACUGAACUAGUACAAUCUGAAGGACUUUUUUGUCCCACGUAUACAGGUUUCUUCAGAACUGUACAGACCACGUUAGCCACGUGGGUUUAUCAAUAAGAUUCUUACCAAGAACUAAACACAGUUGCCAAUGGUGCGAUCACGUGAAGACCAGGGAAUAUAAAGUUUAAACAAUAGAAAUUAGAUGCGAACUCACAAAGCUAUGAGAGCUGUAGCUCUGGAAAAGCAUCAGAUGGAAGAACUGAAAGCUGUUUCCCGUGUACCACAACCAUCACCUCUAAUAACUCCUCGCAGCAUCGCACUAGGGCAGAUUACUUACAACUUGCAAUAUCGUACUCGUCCUCCCUGCCUGCAAGUGGGCAGCCAGUUGAGAUUAUUCUGCCCUUGUGAAAAGUGUGCACAUCCUUUCCUGUGACGUGGAGAGGAUCAAAUACAAUUCCGUUGCCGGGAUUUGAACCAGGGUCGCCUGGAUGAAAGCCAGGCAUCCUGACCGGAAUAGACGACGACGGAUUAGAGGCCUCAGCUAAAAUAAUAGUACUUGUAUUAUCAGAUUGCUUCACCAGAAGACGUAAGAUUGAUCGAAGUGUCCCUUCCUACAAGCACAGUACAAAGAGGCUCUGAGCGAUUUUAGAUUUUGAUGGGAGUAAGUACCCGUCUCGUCCGGAAUAGAUUGGCGAAUAGUUGUAGAUCAAUAGCUGCUCUUCUUCUUCCCAAGAAGCUGUGUGGCUUGACUUCAGAGCCUCGCUACUCAGACAAACAGUCGACAGUUUAUCCUGUCUAAUGAGAAGGUGAAGAGAAUUACCUGACGAAGAAGCUCGCAGCGCUCUGUGUAAUUCGAACGGCAUCCGGAGAGUGAGGUAUUCCUUCGUAUCCCCAUUCGAAAGCAUUCUUCUGCAAAAUCGAGAGAAUAUCUAAACAAAGAGGUGAAAAACGAGAAAAGCUCUACCUCGGGAUGCCAUUGCACACUAGUUACUGGAUACUUGCGUCCUUCAAUCGUCGAAAUAUAUAUCUGAAAAUCCAAAGGAACUGAUGGCUCAAGAGAUUUGGCACCGAAAAUGUUACCUUUCCAUUCAGGUCAGGAGUUGUAGUUAGCACGUCAAAGAAAUCUCGAAGGCUCUGUGUGUCUCUCCAAGUCUGUGGAGAUAGACCUUUCUGCAAUCCAAGCCAAAGAAAUGAGAAGUAGAAAACACAAAGUGCUGAGAACCUUACAACGUGAUUCUGCAUUGCAAGCUUCUCGUGCUCCACCUUAUCCAGAAUGUCCUUAGGAAACCUGGACAAAGAACACUUCACAAGCACAUACAAAGAACUGACUCGUUACCAGGUAAACAUGCUGCGCCCUUUGGCCCAGUCGCCCACGAAGUUUAGCUCUCCAGCAGCUUUGUGUGCGUUGUAAUCGUCCAGGAUGGAAUGGUUGCCACUGACGAUCACGGCUAGAAGUUCCAGACCCAAGCACGUCCCAAACACGGGAAAAUAAUCUCCCUUAUCAUUUGCUUCCAGUGCCCUCUACAAGAUCAAACUAAACAAUCAAGACUCUAGUUGCAAAGUCACUAGCAUGAAUACUCCUGGAAAAAACAAUGGACGAAGAACGAACAAGAAGCAUUCCAAAGCUAAAGCAAGAGGGAAGAACACAAACCUUGAAGAGGAACUCGCUGGCGCGGUAGUAGGGACCAUCUUGCAAGCUUGCACUCCCACCAGCGAACAAAAUGCCAUUGAUCAGCGAGAAUUUCUGAGCAAACAAAUAAGGGCAAAGAAAUUUAGCUCAUGGAAGUUACCUUCGCUAGCGUCUCCCAAGGCUCGUUGUAAAGCAAAGGAACGGCGCGAGCGCCCCCGGCCUCGACGAAUUUCACAUACGAGGCAGCGAUGUAAGAUAUGUUGGAGCGCCUGGGAUCGCCGGGCUCCAGCCUGUUGAUGUAGCUCCUGUCAUCGCCAUCGCCGGGCUGAGUGAGAAUCCCUAUCAGCGGCCGCUUCUCUCGGGAUUCUUCGGGUAGCUGGAUGAUCCUAGCGGCGGCGAUCGCAGCGAGCGCGAGGAAGAUCGCUACAAUGGCUCCUGCCAUGGCGACCCUAGCGUAAGAGCCCUAAUUCGCGGGAAAUUCUCGUCCGCGUCAAUUGCUAGAGCAGCGGACACACACAAGAAACAAGCAAAGAUCGAGCGCCGCCAAGAGCCAGAAGAAGUAGUUCAUAUGGUGAUCGAUCCGCCACCCUUGCUCGUGAUCUUCUCCACCGCAAGAACAAGAACACUACUCCCUAAAUCCUUGCGUGCGUUUCCAACCCCGCCACAACCAUGGCCCUUUGCAAGCAGGUCAACUCGCUCUGUUGACCGAUCAACAUGCGAAGAACUUGGACGAGAAGCCUCUCGUCAAGCGGCACUGUGAGAAUGACGGCGAUGGUGUCACAUGCCGCGAGCGAUGCCGGGGGCACUUUGAAGCCGGAGAUGCGGUUGCGCAUUUCUUGCCCCUACUGCACGAACAGCGUCGAGGUCUGGAUGAAAACGGUGGAGAAGCAUUCUGCUGCGAGCGGCGCUGCUAAGAUCGCACUGGCGGCGGCAUUGUGCUGCAAGCAGCAGUGCUAGAUCGCAGCAGCAGCGGCCGCGAUCGCAGCUCGAGGAGAUCUAGCCGGUAAGAGACUGAUAUUGCUGGCGUGACUCGAUGCAGUGAGAUUUUGGCUUCUGAUCUUCAAACCAGGACGGAAUGAAGCCUAGGGUGUCUGCUGUCCCGUGGAAGACACCCCAGCAUCCAUUGCCCCUGAUAUCCUCACAGCACUCAAACUUGCCAACAAACUGAUACACGAGUCUAGCUGCCUGGAGUAGAACUUCGGAUAAUCCAAAGUUUCUGGGAAAGGUGUUUAUAGUCGUCACUUCAGUCUAGAUUUAAGAAACUUCCGGACUUUCUAGCAGAGCAGAGCCAUUGCCUCACAGAUAAAUCCGAGGUACAACUUGUAACCAUGGUAUGUGCGACUUCUCUGUCCCCCUUUCCAUUUGUGAUGUUGUUAAUCCCCCUACAACAACCUCUACGUAGGCCAAAUAGCAAUGUACGUGACCUAUCAAGUAAGACCGGCUUCUCAAGCCAGCUCUUGAAUGUAUGUUUUUCUGCUUGUUUAAACAAAAUGCAACCUCUAUGUGCAUGUGCACUUGCAAAAAUGAAACAAUCAAAACAUAGCUAUUUAUAAAUGUUCUUGGCUGUGUAUGGUUCCACAGAGUAGAGUCAGACAAUCCAAGAGCCAUAAUUCUUUCUGGAAAGGGCAUGAUUGCUUUGGCUCGCCAACAUGGCGCGAGAGAAACCCUGGUGAUUCUCCAACGAUAUCCUUGUGAUUAGAGCGCUGUAUGUCACUACAUAUAAGAAUGCCCACUUGAGGCUGGCCAAAACGCUGGGAAAGAAGAAAUGUUCCUUGCGCGUAAUCUUGUCUCACAAUCGAAUAGAUGCCACGAUUCAAUGGAUAUGAAAUGCAGCCACGUGUUGCAAGUUGGUUUCCCCCAUAGCACCAAUGAGCUUCUUCCAUUCCAGCCAGUGUGCCCAUUUUUAAUUGGCCAUCCAAACAUCAACGUAAUUUUAACCCCAACCAUAGGAGCACCAAAUUCUUCCAUAUAAUCUUUUAUAGAGAGUUGCUAUACAUUUGGUCCAGAUGCAAUGAACCAAGCUGGUAGGCAUCAAGUAAAACACAAUGUCCUCGAGGUAUGUAUCGGAAAUAUAGACUUUUACAUUUUUAAGGAUUAAAUCCUUGUAUUUAAAAUAAGAUUAUUCUAUUAAAAAUCCUUCGUUCAAGAAAAAAUUACCAACACCAACUCUCAAACCCCAUAUGAACCAGUGAUCAUUCCAGAGUAGUAUACUUGCGGAAGAAUUCAUGGUUCACAAGCUUCUUCAUAUGGAUUGCAGGCAGCGAGAUGAGCAGCCGCCGGUGCCUUCCUCCUCUCGGGCUGGGGAGAAUCACCGUGACACCGUUCCCAUACCACGGCGGCUGCAUUACCAGAGAGUAGUGUACAGUCUUUCCCCAUCCAAAAUCAACGCUGUACACAGGGAAACUGUGCAAGCUCGUGCUGUAGAUCCCAGUCCCCGACACAAAAUCACCAUUUAGAUUGAUCUUCCUUCCUCUGCCCAGCUCCAUCUCCAUCCAAUCGAUGGCGGAUUGCAUGUGUUCUUGAGUGGUGCUUAGGAUAUCCUCGUGGAAGAGCCUCGCAGCGUAGGAGAGAUGGCGGGAUUUGAUGUCCCCGGCCUUGGCAGUGAGGCAUGGCGAGUGGAUGCUGUUGCCAAUGUACGAGGCUGGGACUGGGGGGUUCCAGCGGUUCUUGCCCUUGAGAGAGAUCGCAUAGACGUAGCUUGUGAUGAUCGAGUCUUGGAGAUCUCUGGCCUCGGUGAUGGCUUUCCAGAUCAUGGCGCUCGUUGCCUCGAACGAGGUUGGAGGGCGGCCAUAGCUGUACGGACCACUGUGAACGUCUCGGAUAAGAUCGUCGACUUGGUCAGGAUCCAUCUCAAAAAUCUUCACUACGUACUCGCACGUUACGUCGGUUGCUUUGGCCGAGUGAGUGUUAUAGAUCGGAGAGGAGUAGUAGUCGCGGACUGGCAGAAUGAUCGCUGGGGGCUGUCUGGCCUGGAAAAUGUUAGAGGCAAAAACCGGAGGCCUCGAAAGCGGCAGGCCUCGGUGGAUUUCGGACCAAGCAUUCACAAACGCAAAGAAUGAGGAUCCAUCCAGCACCACUUCGGCAGUUAAGAUCCCUAAUGCGAUCCCACCACACUUGAACUUCGUCACCUAGAUUCAGGAAUUCCAUGAAAUAUUGAAGAAUUAAAUGCGAUAUCAAGAAACCUGCCUGAACUUUGAAGAUCGGAGCGGUGUCUGGAUCCGUGAUGGCCACUUCCGAAGGAUUGAGAUGCUGCUCGAUGGAGCAAAGCGCCAUGUUUUUCCAAUCGCUGAAGCUGGCAUCGGGGGCACUCGCCUCCACAAACGAGACGCCAGCGUCGUUGCAAUCCACCUCCAGCUUGUGACCAUCUUCCGCCUUGCGCACUCGUCCUGCCAAGACAUAAAACGGGACAAGCACUCUGGACAGCGAAGCUUUCAAGCUCGCGACAAGAUCAUCCCUGCUAGAUGGCGGGAAAUAGUAGACUUGCUUGGUGUAAUUCUCAAAGGAGAUGUGGAAGUCGAGAUUGGAGAGCUUGUGAAUCCGGGGUUGUGGAGUCGGAGUUUCUGGCUUGACAGUCCAAGACCCCAACACGGUCACAACACUGGCCAUUAUUGACGAGAGAACAUACGUACAACCUAAAAUAUAUAUAACACCAAAUCUUUCGUGGGUUCCAGGAAAUGCAAAGCCUUGAAAAAAUGCGUGCGAACUAUGCGUGGCGACGCACGUGGUCCAUAGCCACGAACACAGAUCACGACAAGGACAAAGUCAGCUUUUUGUGUACACUGUGUACACGUUUUGCGCGUUCACUGUGCCUCCUCCGUGCGGGCCUAACCAUGUAGAAGCAGCUGCGGUCUGCCCCUCUCUGCCGUGUCUAAGUCGACAUCUCCCCUCUGGCCGGGCAAGGGUUCAAUAGUAUCGUAUUUGAUCAUGAAAUUUUUUCAGUGGAGAAACAUGACGUCGACGGAUGCAUGAUCUAUUGUGGCGCAGUCGGGUAGUCUGGGUUAGACGACAACGGAUUCUUCCCAAGUGGCUUGACUUCAGAGCCUCACUACUCAGAGUCGACUGUUUCCAUGAAGAUGAAGGGACUAACCUGACGAAGUGCUCUGUGUAAUUCGAAUGGCAUCCGGAGAGUGGGGUAUUCCUUCGUUUCAAAUGCAUUCUUCUGCAAAAUCGAGAGAAUAUAAAAACAAAGAGAUGAAAAGCGAGAAAAGCUUUUGUCAUUGCACACCAGUUAUUGGAUAAAGCACAUCAAACUGAGGUUCCAUUCCAUCCGGGAACUCAUCGACAAAGGCAAAAUUCUUCUGGAAUUUUGUCCUACCAACACGCUGGCGGAUGUCCUGACCAAGGCUCUACCUUGUGUAAAGCAUCAAGUCUUCCUAAAGACACUCAAGCUAGGUAAUGGAAACCUUGAGGAGUGUGGGAAGCACAAGGUCCACAUCACUAGCCACAUCACAUAUCCUCACUAACCGUCAAGAGUUGCCACAUCCUCUUAAAAUUCCUAAAUGCAGCUGCUUCCUACAUUUCCAUGGAUCAUCACUAUAAACCCAUACAAUUAACCAUGUAUUAACCGUCAUAACAAUAACACAACACUGUUUCAUAAUACAACAAGACCUUUCUGCAAUCCAAGCCAAAGAAGAAAACACAAACUAAACCUUAGAAUGUGAUUCCGCAAGCUUCUCGUGCUCCACCUUAUCCGGAAUGCCCUUAGGAAACCUGGACAAAGAACAUUUCACAAACACAUACAAAGAACCGACUCGUUACCAGAACAUGCUGAGCUCUUUGGCCCAGUCGCCCACGAAGUUUAGCUCUCCAGCAGCUUCGUGGUAUGCGUUGUAAUCGUUCAGGAUGGAAUGGUUGCCACUGACGAUCACAGCUAGAAGUUCCAGACCCAAGCACGUCCUAUCAUUUGCUUCCAGUGCCCUCUACAAGAUCAAAAUAAACAAUCAAAUACUCUAGUUCCAAAGUGAAUACUCCUGGACGAAGAACGAACAAGAAGCAUUCCAAAGCUAAAGCAAGAGGGAAGAACAAAGAGAAACUCGCUGGCGCGGUACUUAGGACCAUCUUGCAAGCUUGCGCUCCCACCAGCAAACAAGAUGCCACUGAUCAGCGAGAAUUUCUGUGCAAAAAAAUAAGCGCAAAGAAACUGGAAGUUACCUUUGCUAGCGUCUCCCAAGGCGGAACGGCGCGAGCACCCCGGCCUCUACGAAUUUCACAUACCAGGCAGCGAUGUAAGAUAUGUUGGAGCGCCUAGGACCGCCCGUCGAUGUAGCUCCUCCCAUCGCCAUUGUCAGGCUGAGUGAGAAUCCCAAUCAGCGGCGCUUCUCCCGGGAUUCUUCGGGCAGCUGGAUGAUCCCGGCAAUUUCCCGCGAAUUAGGGUUCUUAUGCUAUGGUUUUUUCAUUUCGCCAUAGCCCCGUGUCAAUUGCUAGAGCAGCGGACGCACACAAGAAACAAGCCAAGAUCAGUGGCGACGAGCGCUGCCAAGAGCCAGAAGAAGUAGUCCAUAUGGUGAUCGAUCCAGCUCCCGCGUCUGCCACCCUUGCUCGUGAUCUUCUCCACCGCACCAACAAGAACAACUCCCUAAAGCAUUUGUAGCAAGCGACAGUGCACCGAUCAAACUCCGCAUUGCCUCGGGGGACUCCUUGUUGAAGAACUCGGUCCUCCCAGCAAACGCGAACACUCCAGCGGCGCCCACUUGAAAAUGCUGUGGCACCUGCCAGAGUAUACUCACCUGGUGAACCAUUGCGUGCGUUUCCACCACCCCCGCCACAACCAUGGCCAAAAGCCCCAGGCCCAUCCUUUGCAAGCCGGUCAACCCACUCUGUUGACCGGUCAACAUGUGAAGAACUGGGACGAGAAGCCUCUCGUAGAGCGGCACUGUGAGAAUGACGGCGAUGGUGUCAAAUGCCGCGAGCGAUGCCAGGGGGACUUUGAAGCCGGAUAUGCGGUUGCGCAUUUCUUGCCCCUGCUGCACGAACAGCGUCGAGGUCUGGAUGAAAACGGUGGAGAAGAUGAUGCUCGUCCCCCACACUGGCAUCAAGUGCAGGAUGAUCUUCACCUCCUCGAUCUGCGUUACCGUGCAUAACCUCCAUCCCGUCGGUGGUGAGUUCCCAAACGCUGUUUGCUCAUCGCGAGCGAUGGCUGCCGCCUUGUCGAGAAAUCCAAAUCCAGCAGUGUGCUGAAUCUGCUGACUUCCUGGAAUGCUGGAACUCUCCCCUUGUAGCUCAUAGAGGGUUGCAUUUGCAUGCUCGACUUCUAUCCUUGCACUUCUGUUUCUGGCAGCGGCAACGAAAACUUGUGCCACCCUGGUUAGCGGGCUCCCACCCGGUUGCUUGUGCUUGUACCGCGGCCAGCCCAUGAGAAAGAUCAUGGCGGACGCCGUGACCGCCACUGUGGGGAUGGCGAACCCGAGCGGCCAGCUUACUUCCUGCUGGACAUAUACCAGAGCUGUUCCCGCAAUCAGACCUCCGAUGUUGGUGAAGUAGCUCCAGUUGAAGAAGCUGGCCUUGUUGCUUGCUGGAUCAUCAGACUCUUCCAGUUGAAAAGCACCGAAUGAUGAAAUGCAAGACCUUGGUCCACCGGAUCCCACGGCUAUGACGUAUAACGCUGUGUAAAGCAAGGCCGGGUUUACUGUUUUGCUGCAAGUAUGUGAUCCAGUGCUAUGGCAUGUAGGGUGUAGCAAAGUUGACAAGGUUAGCAAGAUCAUACCCUGUGAGUGUAACGUUGGGCAAAGGUGAGUCUAGAGUGUCUCUUUUUCUUACCAGCAAGUAGAUGCCGAAAAAGGCGUUGAUCGUCCGAAACUGGCCGAGGUAAGAGUCUGCAAGGAAUCCACCCAGUAGAGGGCUAAGAUUACAGGUUCCCAUCCAGUUUGAGACUGCGUUUGCCGCACUGGCUUUGGAUACGUGAAGCUUGCUAGACAUGUAGAUCACCAUGUUUGCUACAAUGGCGUAGUAUGCGAGCCGUUCCAUGGAGAGAGAAACUAGAAACGCAGAGAAAUUAAGAAAGCCAUUCAAUCCUUAUGGGAACCGAAGUGUACCAAUAAUGAAUUUGCAAGCCCACCAUCCAGCAGCUCCAUUGUCGGCCAUUUAGGAUAAACAAAGCUGAACCCUAAGAACAUCUGCUCAGCUCCGGUGGUUUUCACCCAAAUCAACUUGCUGUGAAUGGAAGUUCUUCAUUGUGGAUUGCAUCUCAAGUUCAACCUUUUGAAAAUUUCUGAUCAUUGGCUUCCACGGUGUUAGGUUCUUCAGGAAGGAAGACGAGGCGGCAGUCCUGUGGUUCAAAAUCUAUUGCGCAAAAUUGAAUUUUUCUACUUCGUUGAAACUCGUUUUGCCCCUAUUUUUCUCAAAUACUUUGUAAUUUCUAAUAUUACGUUUGUAGAACUUAUAUGCAAAUGAAACAAAAUGCAAAAAAAAUUGCAAAAUGGAAAGCUGAGAGUGCAUUGUGUAAUGCAACAUAAUAGACAUGUUCAAGACAUGCACAUUGUCAUCCUUGUUGCCACAGCUCAGAGAAGAGCAACCCUCAUAGCACAAUUUAACACAAAGAUAAACUUACCAAUGCACAUAUAUUGUAAAUUCUGUGAGAGGUAAGAAGAGAGUAAUAAUUGGUAGUACCUAAGAAUUCAUCUCAUAAGGGUUUCAUCUGGCAACCAUAAAUAACAAUUGGUGCUGAUAUAAUCUUCUAAGUAGUCUCCAAGGCAAAAACUUGAGCAUGAGAAAAACUGCAAAAGUUAUUGAGAUUCGCAAACAUAAAAAAAUGUGUCAAUUACAUUUUUGGCCAAUAUAACUCAAGCCCAAUUGCCCUUGAGCUGCAUGUUCCCCCCCAACUCAUCAGAGUAAAAAACAUAUUUACCCAGUUACCCCCAAGAUCCAUGUUGCAAUUUGUUCUUCUCUAGCAAAAUGGUCUGCAGGCCUUCUAUUGGCCAAGAGCAAAAGACUUCACUCUGGGCCUGAGAUCUGACAGUUGAUUGGUUCAUUGCUGAAAAUGUAUAGAAAUCUCUAAAAGUUACAAAUAAAUAAAUACAAAUUCUCAAACUAUGUAUGAACCAGUGAAUAUUCCUACGAUCCCAGAGUAGUAUAGUUGCGGAAGAAUUCAUGGUUCACGAGCUUCUUCAUAUGGAUUGCAGGUAGCGAGAUGAGCAGCCGCCGGUGCCUUCCUCCUCUCGGGCUGGGGAGAAUCACCGUGACACCGUUCCCAUACCACGACUGCAUUACCAGAGAGUAGUGUACAGUCUUUCCCCAUCCAAAAUCAACGCUGUACACAGGGAAACUGUGCAAGCUCGUGCUGUAGAUCCCAGUCACCGACACAAAAUCACCAUUUAGAUUGAUCUUCCGUCCUCUGCCCAGCUCCAUCUCCAUCCAAUCGAUGGCGGAUUGCAUGUGUUCUUGAAUGGUGCUUAGGAUAUCCUCCUGGAACAACCUCGCAGCAUAGGAGAGAUGGCGGGAUUUGGCCUUGGCAGUGAGGCAUGGCGAGUGGAUGCUGUUGCCAAUGUACGAGGCUGGGACUGGGGGGUUCCAGCGGUUCUUGCCCUUGAGAGAGAUCGCAUAGACGUAGCUUGUGAUGAUCGAGUCUUGGAGAUCUCUGGCCUCGGUGAUGGCUUUCCACAUCAUGGCGCUCGUUGCCUCGAACGAGGUUGGAGGGCGGCCAUAGCUGUACGGACCACUGUGAACGUCUCGGAUAAGAUCGUCGACUUGGUCAGGAUCCAUCUCAAACAUCUUCACUACGUACUCGCACGUUACGUCGGUUGCUUUGGCCGAGUGAGUGUUAUAGAUCGGAGAGGAGUAGUAGUCGCGGACUGGCAGAAUGGGGGCUGCCUGGCCUGGAAAAUGUUAGAGGCAAAAACCGGAGGCCUCGAAAGCGGCAGGCCUCGGUGGAUUUCGGACCAAGAAUUCACAAACGCAAAGAAUGAGGAUCCAUCCAGCACCACUUCGGCCGUUAAGAUCCCUAAUGCGAUCCCACCACACUUGAACUUCGUCACCUAGAUUCAGGAAUUCCAUGAAAUAUUGAAGAAUUAAAUGCGAUAUCAAGAAACCUGCCUGAACUUUGAAGAUCGGAGCAGUGUCUGGAUCCGUGAUGGCCACUUCCGAAGGAUUGAGAUGCUGCUCGAUGGAGCAAAACGCCAUGUUUUUCCAAUCGCUGAAGCUGGCAUCGGGGGCCUCCACAAACGAGAUGCCACCGUCGUUGCAAUCCACCUCCAGCUUGUGACCAUCUUCCGCCCUGCGCACCCGCCCUGCCAAGACAUAAAACGGGACAAGCACUCUGGACAGCGAAGCUCUCAAGCUCGCGACAAGAUCAUCCCUGCUAGAUGGCGGGAAAUAGUAGACUUGCUUGGUGUAAUUCUCAAAGGAGAUGUGGAAGUCGAGAUUGGAGAGCUUGUGAAUCCAGGGCUGUGGAGUCAGAGUUUCGGGCUUGACAGUCCAAGACCCAACACCCUAGCCAUAUAGGAACAUACACAAACUUAAUAUAUAUAUUACCUAUAAGAUUUCAUGUUUGUUUAUAUAUAUAUAACGAGUAAAGGUAUUUAUAUUUAUGGUUGCAUUUUCAUUAGUUAUAUUAAUCAUUUAAAAUAGGGGUUUAAAGUAAAAAAUGAUACGGGAUUAUACUGACAGAGCUAAAGAGCCAAUCCAGCUUUUCCUACAUGCAUUCUUCCAAAACAAAGAAGAGCAUUCUCUUUCGUAGUCCAAGGCCCACGCGAAAGAAACAAAUGGCCUAAUGAAGAGGUUAAGGGCAAGCCCGUACUGAACUAGUACAAUCUGGAGGACUCUUUUGUCCGAUGUAAGUAGUAUACAGGUUUCUUCAGAACUGUACAGACCACGUUAGCCACGUGGGUUUAUCAAUAAGAUUGUUACCAAGAACUAAACUCGAUCGGACAGUUGCCAAUGGUGCGAUGACCAGCGAAUAUAGAGUUUAAACAAUAGAAAUUAGAUGCGAACUCACAAAGCUAUGGGUUCCACAGCGAGAGCUGUAGCUCUGGAAAAGCAUCAGAUGGAAGAACUGAAAGCUGUUUCCCGUGUACCACAACCAUCACCUCUAAUAACUCCUCUCAGCAUCGUACCAGGGCAGAUUACUUACAACUUGCAAUAUCGUUCUCGUCCUCCCUGCCUGCAAGUGGGCAGCCAGUUGAGAUUAUUCUGCCCUUGUGAAAAGUGUGCACAUCCUUUCCUGUGACGUGGGGAGGAUCAAAUACAAUUCCGUUGGCGGCAUUUGAACCAGGGUCGCCUGGAUGAAAGCCAGGCAUCCUGACCGGAAUAGACGACGACGGAUUAGAGACCUCAGCUAAAAUAACAGUAGUUUUAUUAUCAGAUUGCUUCACCAGAAGACGUAAGAUUGAUCGAAGUGUCCCUUCCUACAAGCACAGUACAAAGAGGCUCUGAGCGAUUUUAGAUUUUGAUGGGAGUAAGUACCCGUCUCGGCCGGAAUAGAUUGGCGAAUAGUUGUAGAUCAAUAGCUGCUCUUCUUCUUCCCAAGAAGCUGUGUGGCUUGACUUCAGAGCCUCGCUACUCAGACAAACAGUCCAGAGUUUAUCCUGUUUAAUGAGAAGGUGAAGAGAAUUGCCCGACGAAGAAGCUGGCAGCGCUCUGUGUAAUAUGAACGGCAUCCGGAGAGUGAGCUAUUCCUUCAUAUCCCCAUUCGAAAGCAUUCUUCUGUAAAAUCGAGAGAAUAUCAAAACAAAGAGGUGAAAAACGAGAAAAGCUCUACCUCGGGAUGCCAUUGCACACCAGUUACUGGAUACUUGGGUCCUUCAAUCGUCGAAAUAUAUAUCUGAAAAUCCAAAGGAACUGAUGGCUCAAGAGAUUUGGCACCGAGAAUUACCUUCCCAUUCAGGUCAGGAGUCGUAGUUAGCACGUCGAAGAAAUCUCUAAGGCUCUGUGUGUCUCUCCAAGUCUGUGGAGAUAGACCUUUCUGCAAUCCAAGCCAAAGAAAUGAGAAGAAGAAAACACAAAGUAAGUGCUGAGAACCUUACAAUGUGAUUCUGCAUUGCAAGCUUAUCGUGCUCCACCUUAUCCAGAAUGUCCUUAGGAAACCUGGACAAAGAACAUUUCACAAGCACAUACAAAGAACUGACUUGUUACCAGGUAAACAUGCUGCACUCUUUGGCCCAGUCGCCCACGAAGUUUAGCUCUCCAGCAGCUUUGUGUGCGUUGUAAUACUCGAGGAUGGAAUGGUUGCCACUGACGAUCCUAGUGGGAUUAAAACUAGUGGGAUUAAAAAUUAUUAGUUAAGAAUAAUAAUAGAAAUAAAACUUACCUAGUUCAACAUAUGUAUAUAAUAUAUCAGUUAAAGUUUGUGUAGUACGAUUGGCUACCGGAACCAUAAACAUUCGAUCUGAAUCACGUUCAAUUCCUCCAAAGACUCAUUAACCUUCUACUCUUCUACCACAAUUAUAUUUCUGCUUACCAAACUUACUUUCAUCAAUUUCCACAAUACUUCCUGGACCACCAAUCUUUUGAUUACCUCAUUGUAAUGUGAUAAUGCAAAUAUCACGACAAAAGUUGUACCAAUUUGUUAUCGUGUGCUCACUUUUAAUACUACACUCAAUAUGAGUUUAAUCUUGUGGCAUUUUAAUGCACCAACAAUACAUCACUCUAAGCAUUUGAGUAAAUAUGAGAUUACUAUUUGCAAACCAUGUAUUAGUUCUAAGAAAUUUUGUGAUAUUGCAAUUUUUACAAUUCCACUUUAAACCAUCUUUACAACCUUGAUUAUCAUAUCGAUAUCUCAUUGGUCAAUGACAUCUUUCACAUUCUCUCUCUUGUGGGAGAAGACCAACCGUAAUACAAAAACUAAAAGAAUUUACCUUACUAUUAGUUCUCUCAAUAAUAUUAGAAAAAGAAAGAAUACUAUCUUAAGCAUGAUUUACAUAUUCCAAUCUAGCCAUAAUACUAAAGAGAAUGAAUAAAAUAAGAAAGAAAAUAUAAGGAGCACAAACAUAAAACACAAUGAGGAAAGACCUAAACCAAUCGUAGGUUAUAUACUUAUAAAUUAUAGCCGUUCAUUCACUGGCUAAUUAUAAAAUUAUAUAAUUAAAAUUUAACGUUACUAAUUUAGAGUUAGUCGUUAAACAUUUAGGGUGUAGAGCUGGGAAUGACUAAGCGCGCCACGGAGGAAGCGAGGAGGCAACCACGUAAGAGUGAGGGGUGCUGUAUUGUGCAUUUCUUCCGCAGCACUGCUAAGAUCGCACUGGCGGCGGCAUUGUGCUGCAAGCAGCAGUGCUAGAUCGCAGCAGCAGUGGCCGCGAUCGCAGCUCGAGGAGAUCUAGCCGGUAAGAGACUGAUAUUGCUGCCUGUGACUCGAUGCAGUGAGAUUUUCUUCAAACCAGAACGGAAUGAAGCCUAGGGUGUCUGCUGUCCCAUGGAAGACACCCGAGAUCCUCUUCUCACAACACUCAAACUUGCCAACAAACUGAUACACGACUCUAACUGCCUGAGGUAGAACUUAGGAUAAUCCAAAGGUUCUGGGAAAGGUGUUUAUAGGCCAAAUAGCAAUGUACGUGACAUAUCAAGUAAGACCGGCUUCUCAAGCCAGCUCUUGAAUGUUAAGAAUGAAACAAUCAAAGCAUAGCUUUUUAUAAAUGUUCUUGGCUGUGUAUGGUUCCAGAGAGUAGAGGUCAGACAGUCCAAGAGCCAUAAUUCUUUCUGGAAAGGGCAUGAUUGCUUUGGCUCGUCAACAUGGCGCGAGAGAAACCCUGGUGAUUCUCCAACGAUAUCCUUGUGAUUAGAGCGCUGUAUGUCACUACAUAUAAGAAUGCCCACUUGAGGCUGGCCAAAACGCUGGGAAAGAAGAAAUGUUCCUUGCGCGUAAUCUUGUCUCACAAUCGAAUAGAUGCCACCAUUCGAUGGAUAUGAACUGCAGCCACGUGUCAAUUUGCAAUUUGCCAUUUCGUUUUCUCCCAUAGCACCAAUGAGCUUCUUCCCUUCCAGCCAGUGUGCCCGCCAUCAAACAUCAAACAUCAACGUCAUUUUAACCCCAACCAUAGUUAGAUGAUGAUGACACCAAAUUCUUCCAUAUAAAUAUUUGUUGUCUUUUAUAGAGAUUUGCUAUACAUUUGGUCCAGAUGCAAUGAACCAAAGCUGGUGGGCAAUGUCCUCGUGGACGGUGAAUCAGAAAUAUAGACUUUUACAUUUUUAAGGAUUUAAUCCUUGUGUUUAAAAUAAGAUUACUUAUCAAAACAAAUCCUUAGUUCAAGAAAAAAAUUACCAACACCCCAUAGAUAUGAAUAGAUCAUUCUUACGAUCCGAGAGUAGUAUACUUGCGGAAGAAUUCAUGGUUCACGAGCUUCUUCAUAUGGAUUGCAGGUAGCGAGAUGAGCAGCCGCCGGUGCCUUCCUCCUCUCGGGCUGGGGAGAAUCACCGUGACACCGUUCCCAUACCACGGCGGCUGCAUUACCAGAGAGUAGUGUACAGUCUUUCCCCAUCCAAAAUCAACGCUGUACACAGGGAAACUGUGCAAGCUCGUGCUGUAGAUCCCAGUCCCCGACACAAAAUCACCAUUUAGAUUGAUCUUCCUUCCUCUGCCCAGCUCCAUCUCCAUCCAAUCGAUGGCGGAUUGCAUGUGUUCUUGAGUGGUGCUUAGGAUAUCCUCGUGGAAGAGCCUCGCAGCGUAGGAGAGAUGGCGGGAUUUGAUGUCCCCGGCCUUGGCAGUGAGGCAUGGCGAGUGGAUGCUGUUGCCAAUGUACGAGGCUGGGACUGGGGGGUUCCAGCGGUUCUUGCCCUUGAGAGAGAUUGCAUAGACGUAGCUUGUGAUGAUCGAGUCUUGGAGAUCUCUGGCCUCGGUGGUGGCUUUCCAGAUCAUGGCGCUCGUUGCCUCGAACGAGGUUGGAGGGCGGCCAUAGCUGUACGGACCACUGUGAACGUCUCGGAUAAGAUCGUCGACUUGGUCAGGAUCCAUCUCAAACAUCUUCACGACGUACUCGCACGUUACGUCGGUUGCUUUGGCCGAGUGAGUGUUAUAGAUCG
rnacentral:lncRNA from 1 species